rnacentral:rRNA from 1 species
UGGGGAAUCUUGCACAAUGGGCGAAAGCCUGAUGCAGCGACGCCGCGUGGGGGAUGAAGCUUCUCGGAGUGUAAACCCCUUUCGACCGGGACGAAUGCCCGCAAGGGAGUGACGGUACCGGUAUAAGAAGCCCCGGCUAACUACGUGCCAGCAGCCGCGGUAAGACGUAGGGGGCCAGCGUUGCUCGGAAUUACUGGGUGUAAAGGGUCAGUAGGCGGUGUGGCAAGUCGGGAGUGAAAUCUCUGGGCUUAACCCAGAGGCUGCUUCCGAAACUGCUGUGCUAGAGUGUGAGAGAGGCGCGUGGAAUUGCAGGUGUAGCGGUGAAAUGCGUAGAUAUCUGCAGGAACACCCGUGGCGAAAGCGGCGCGCUGGAUCACAACUGACGCUGAAUGACGAAAGCUAGGGGAGCAAACAGGAUUAGAUACCCCUGUAGUCC